UUACAGGAAGAACAUUUAUCAUCUAAUGUUGGAUCUAUAAAUUCCUCACCGCCAUUUUCUUUCCACAAUUCGUACGCCUGCAAUGCGCGAAACAAGAUCAAUACACCAAUUGCCUAAUAUGUCAAAGCAAGUGUAAAGAAGAAGCAAAACUCCAAAGCUAUAAACAUCAUACUUCAUGGAGUA